GCCUCGCACGCCGGAAUCGCCAGGCACUCUGGGAAGGGUCAGGCUCCGGCGGGAAGGCGGAGCCGUUGGGGAGCGUGAGGCGAAGCGUGGUCUCUCCAAGAAAAAGUGUAUCCACCAGGAGCGCCGAGCGAAACCCCAUUCUUAGUAAAACCCUUAAGGGAAAAAAGUAGGGCUGAAGAAAGCUGCAUGGGACAAGAGUAGGACCGUCAGAAGACAAGCCAAAAGCAUGCGAUGGUAGCUGUCCACUGCUGAGAAGCAGAGAAAAGGAGUGGUCUCGCACACUAAAGGUUUUCUUCAUUUGACAGACAAGAAGCUGAAAAACUGGCACUUUUUAUUCAGAUAUGUAUAAAAACAAAACAAAAAAAACAACACAUACUCCCCGUUUCGCAUCCAAGGGGACAGAGGUCUGAAGCCGGGUCCUCUUUCUAUCCCAACUGGAAGCUUCCCACUACGGGAUGAGAAUAGUUUCUAAAAGUGGCUCUUGGGGGGCCAGCCGGGUGGCAGUGGUUAAGUUGGUGUCCUCUGCUUCAGUGGCCCGGGGUUCGCAGGUUUGGAACCCUGGGUGUGGACCUGUGUACCGCUAUCAAGCCACGCUGUGGCAGUGUCCCACAUAGACAGAAGAUGGGCACAAAUGUGGCUCAGGGACAGUCUUCUUCAAGCAAAAACAGGAAGAUUGGCAACAGAUGUUAGCUUAGAGACAAGCUUCAUCACCAAAAAAAAAGAAACAACAACAAAAAAAACCCAGCUCUUGGGACCCUUGUGGAUCUGCCCCUUAGAUAAGAAGUGGAGAUCAUUUCUAACACAUGUAGAUUAUAGUUUACACAAAGAUGUCCAGUUAUUUUUCCUUCUGACCACCCCCUUCCCCUUGCUUCCUGUAUGAGAAGUCUGGGUGUAGGAGGCUGUGGUUGUAGGAGUUAGACUUGAUUCAGUGCAAAAACAAGACAAUGCCCAUUACAAGGGCUCUGCCUUACACAGGUUUUCCUUGCUAUCUUACAGUAAGACCAUAUGCAUUGGAAGAUUUUGACCCCUGGACAUGCCACUUAAUUGACUUAAUCUCUUUAAGGCUCAGUUUCCUUAUUUGUGAAAUGAGAUAAUACCUAGCUCAUAGAAUUGUUGUAAAAGGAUUAACUGAGAUAAUGUAGGUAAAGUUCAGCAUGAUGCUUGGCACACAGUAAAUGCUCAAUUAAUAGUAAUUAAUAUCUACUCCUAACCUCUUUCUUUGUUCCUCAAGAUUUUAAGCUUCCCAUUCUUUCCAGGGGGUUAAGAGUCAUGAGUCAAAAUUUUCUUUCCCUUGCGGGUUUUCCCCCUUUCCUCUUCCUUAGGAUGCUGACGGGAAACAAAGUCACUCCUUACAGCCUGGUCUCAA